UACGGAGGGCGCAAGCGUUGUUCGGAAUUACUGGGCGUAAAGCGCGUGUAGGCGGCUUGGCAAGUCGGGUGUGAAAUCCCGGGGCCCAACCCCGGAACUGCAUUCGAAACUGCCUCGCUAGAGUCCCGGAGAGGAAGGCGGAAUUCCCGGUGUAGAGGUGAAAUUCGUAGAUAUCGGGAGGAACACCAGCGGCGAAGGCGGCCUUCUGGACGUUGACUGACGCUGAGACGCGAAAGCGUGGGGAGCAAACAGG
rnacentral:rRNA from 1 species